rnacentral:lncRNA from 1 species
CUCGAACAUGGUGGCUCGCACUUAAACCGUUUACUUUCGAUUGUGGUCCACCAGUUACAAACAGCUGUAAAAACGCUAAGUUUUGUUAUUGAAAAUAUAUUUCACAGCGAUUUAGAUGGUAAAAUGAUUCCCUCCACUAUUCAGUGUUUAUUUUCUCACAUAAACUGAAAUUGAGCAAACAGUGUAGAAUUUGAGCAACCAGGAAAUGAGAGAGCGAUUUCUACAUUGUCCGUUUGACCCCAUUUCCACUAGAUAACAUAGCCACAAAGUCAAAACAGCUUUCCUAUUUUGACAACAGAUGCCGGCCCGGUGGGAUAAAUCAACAGGCAAAUAUCACAGCCAAUCACAACACAGAUGCUGUCAGAGGAGUGUAUGCAUGACGGCUGACCUAGAGAAGGCAUAAAUAACAUAUGGGGAAGGAUGCGGUGACCACCAAAGCUCUUGGGUAUUCAAUGAUCAAGGAUGCUGCCAGAAUAGCAAGCACUUCCAUCUCCCAGAGCACAAGUGGCUCUUUGGACUUUAUAAAAAGCUCAAUGGUGCUUUGGUUUUUGUUCCAGGGAGAGAGAGAACAGACACAUUAACAUUCCACCCACUUAUAAUGCCUGUAUUGAGAUCUCUG